rnacentral:rRNA from 1 species
AGUGAACGCUGGCGGUAGGCCUAACACAUGCAAGUCGAACGGCAGCACAGGAGAGCUUGCUCUCUGGGUGGCGAGUGGCGGACGGGUGAGGAAUACAUCGGAAUCUACUUUUUCGUGGGGGAUAACGUAGGGAAACUUACGCCAAUACCGCAUACGACCUACGGGUGAAAGCAGGGGAUCUUCGGACCUUGCGCGAUUGAAUGAGCCGAUGUCGGAUUAGCUAGUUGGCGGGGUAAAGGCCCACCAAGGCGACGAUCCGUAGCUGGUCUGAGAGGAUGAUCAGCCACACUGGAACUGGGACACGGUCCAGACUCCUACGGGAGGCAGCAGUGGGGAAUAUUGGACAAUGGGCGCAAGCCUGAUCCAGCCAUACCGCGUGGGUGAAGAAGGCCUUCGGGUUGUAAAGCCCUUUUGUUGGGAAAGAAAUCCAGCUGGUUAAUACCCGGUUGGGAUGACGGUACCCAAAGAAUAAGCACCGGCUAACUUCGUGCCAGCCGCCGCAGUAA